rnacentral:rRNA from 1 species
AUUGAACGCUGGCGGCAUGCCUUACACAUGCAAGUCGAACGGCAGCGGGGACUUCGGUCCGCCGGCGAGUGGCGAACGGGUGAGUAAAGUAUCGGAACGUACCUUUCAGUGGGGGAUAACGUAGCGAAAGUUACGCUAAUACCGCAUAUUCUGUGAGCAGGAAAGCAGGGGAUCGCAAGACCUUGCGCUGAUUGAGCGGCCGAUAUCAGAUUAGCUAGUUGGUGAGGUAAAGGCUCACCAAGGCGACGAUCUGUAGCGGGUCUGAGAGGAUGAGCCGCCUCACGGGAAGUGAGACACGGUCUAGACUCCUACGGGAGGCAGCAGUGGGGAAUUGUGGACAAUGGGGGCAACCCUGAUCCAGCCAUGCCGCGUGAGUGAAGAAGGCCUUCGGGUUGUAAAGCUCUUUCGGCCGGGAGGAAAUCGCACAGGCUAAUACCCUGUGUGGAUGACAGUACCGGAAUAAGAAGCACCGGCUAACUACGUGCCAGCCGCCGCCGUAA